AUACGAUGAAGAGUUUGAUCCUGGCUCAGGAUGAACGCUAGCGGCAGGCUUAACACAUGCAAGUCGAGGGGUAGAGUAGCAAUACUUGAGACCGGCGCACGGGUGCGUAACGCGUAUGCAAUCUACCUUUUACAGAGGGACAGCCCAGAGAAAUUUGGAUUAAUACCUCAUAGUAUAACAUGACCGCAUGGUUAAGUUAUUAAAGUUACAACGGUAAAAGAUGAGCAUGCGUCCCAUUAGUUAGUUGGUAAGGUAACGGCUUACCAAGACGAUGAUGGGUAGGGGUCCUGAGAGGGAGAUCCCCCACACUGGUACUGAGACACGGACCAGACUCCUACGGGAGGCAGCA
rnacentral:rRNA from 1 species